GAGAACGCAGUUCCCCCCACUUCCUCUCCACCUGCCCAUCGCUGCCUGAGCCUGCCCGCCCGGAUCCACAGCUAUUCAGGAAGCAUGAAAACGGCUGAGCACCUCGCCAGGACCGGGCCUGCCCUGCACGGCCUCGUCCAGUACGCUCUCCAUCCGUGCGGACCUUGCUUUCCUGCUACCCUGAGCAAACAGAAGCAGUCACACCACAGCUGACACCCGCUGCAUGCAGACACCAUUCUAGACGCCUGCGGCGUAUCAGGGACACCAAGGAGCCACUCGCUGCCCCGGUGGCACGGAGCUCCAGUGACAGAUCACAGCCGAUGCAGUACUUACUGCGUUCCAGACACAGAGUGGCCCUCUGAGGUCCUACCUCACGGCACCAUUUUACAGACAUGAGUCCCGUUGUUUAUGCAAAUGAGAAAACGGAGGCCCGGAGGGAUUAGAAACCUUGACCAAGGUCACACGGACCGUGAGUAGUGAGGCGAGGAUUUGGACCCAGGCAGUCUGGAGGCCACGCCCUUAAUCAUUGCUCCUUUCCGUGUCAGAGGAACUGAGAUGUACGUGCCCACACUUUGCCCGUCCAUUCACGGUCAUCUGAGCCCGUGUCCUCUGCCUUCCCAUCUGCUACAUGGGAUGACCACCCUGCUCUUUUCUGAGACCCGCCCUCAGAUUUUGUGCUGUCGAUCAUACCCCCCUGCCCCCACCUGUGAGCCUCCCUUUGUCCACGCCCCCUCUUGAUUGGCAGACCUGCUAGAGUCUCUCCCAUCCAUGUCCCGUCCCCACCAUCGGCCACGGCACCAUUUGUGUGCCCCUUUAUUGCAAAAACGAGUCAGAAGAGCUGUCGGGACUCGGGUCUCACAUUCUUCUCCUUCCAGUCUCUCCUGGGCCCACUCUAGUUGGGUUUUGGCCCAAGGUGCCACCAAGCUACCCUUGGGCCGUCUCCAGGGACCUCCUCCACAUGGCAAAACCCAAUGGUCAUUCCUCAGCCCUCGGCCUUGUUGACCCAUCAGCAGCACCUGACCUAUGUGGUCGCCCCCCUCUUCUUGGAACAUUUUACUUGCUUGGUUUCCCAGACACCACAUCACCUUGGCUUCUCCGCCUCCUUCUCGCCUCCCACCUGUUCACCCUGGAGUGCGAAGGCUCAGUCCUUGAGUCUCUGUCCUCCCCGCUUAACACACUGUCCUGAGGGGUCGGCUCCUGCCCCCUGGCUUCAAGGGUCAUCUAUAAAUCAA